AAAGUAUAUGUUAUUUGCCAUUUGAAAAGAAAGUUACUAACUUGGAAUUUUUUGAUAAAUAAUAAUUGUAUCAUACGUACUUUUGAAUUCGUGCAAGAACAUAUGUAAUUUUGAAGUAGUUAUUAUUAGGAAAUUGUUAGACGCGAACAGUAUGCGAAAAGUUAGUAUGCAGUGUAAUAAUUAUCAAUCAAAACACAAGAAUUAAAUUCUUGAGGAAAAAAUUUCCGGAAUUUCUUAUUUACAUGAUUAUAAAGAAAUCCAUAAUAAAAAGGAGCUGCUUUCUAAUACUUCUCUUCCUUGUAAUGCCUGCGUUAAUAAUAACGAGGUUCGACUUUUUGUUUUUAGAGGGAUACUGGAAAAUUUGAAAGUACAGUACCAUUGGGAAGAAAAUCACGAUAUUGAAAACGAUAUUUGCAAAUUGAACAAUAUUCCAGAUUUAUUCAUAAUUUCAUACUACGCGAAGAAUAGACUUUUCAUAGGUAUAUAAAGGAAAUAUUAAGUAUAGGAAAACUCUUUUUCGUUGUAGGUGACAUAUGCUUCACGGUUGAACACAUGUAUUUUUGAACACAUAUAAAUGAAAAAGUACUCUUAUGGAGAAAAAGAAUUGAUACCUUCGAUUGACAUUAGAUAAUGUAUAUAAACUUAUGAACAAUCACUAUCAGUUUGUAUCUUAGGUGCACACGCAGAUUUGUUGGAGUUCUUAUAAAAUGUACUUCCUGUACGAACGUUUUAUUCUUCCAAAUUUUACGAUACUAUGUCUCAUAUAAUAACUAUAUGGAUUAAACGUAAUAUAAAUGAUCCGAAAAUAGACUCGAACGACAUUAAUUGUCUUUCUAUUUAUACCAAUAUCGAAAAUACAAGUAAAGCUGGAGCAAUAGUAUGCAAGAAUGGACUAUUUAUUAUUUUAAACCAAAUCAUAGCAUAUUCAGAAUGCACAGUAUUAUCAUGAAAUGUAAAUGAAUCAGUUGUAAACGAACGAUUUUACUGUAAAAUCGUUGCCUCCUUUUUUUCAUCUGAAAUAUAGCAGCAAUGAGUA